rnacentral:lncRNA from 1 species
GCUGAAGGCACUUAUCUUACAGAGAUCUACUGCAAGGCUUCCACUAUAGAAAACCCAGGAAGCUGCUCUUUCACUUCAUUCUGGGAGAUAUUUAAUAGUUAGUAGAAAAUAUAACAACCCAGCACAAAAACAGGGACAGUAUUGUGACCCACUGCUUCCACCACAGAUCCCCAUAGAGGAACAAGACCCUGGGGAGGUCUCUACCUCUGACACCAACCUGGGGAGGUCUCUGUCUCUGACACCAACCUGGGGAGGUCUCUCUGUCUCUGACACCAACCAGGGGAGGUCUCUCUGUCUCUGACACAAACCUGGGGAGGUCUCUACCUCUGACACCAACCUGGUGCGGUCUCUGUCUCUGACACCAACCUGGGGAGGUCUCUGUCUCUGACACCAACCUGGGGAGGUCUCUGGCUCUGACACCAACCUUGGAAGGUCCCCUUCUCUGACACCAACCUGGGGAGGUCUCUCUUUCUCUGACACCAACCUUGGAAGGUCUCUGUCUCUGACACCAACCUGGGGAGGUCUCUCUGUCUCUGACACCAUCCUGGGGAGGUCUCUGUCUCCGACACCAACCUGGGGAGGUCUCUCUGUCUCCGACACCAACCUUGGAAGGCCCCUCCUCUGACACCAACCUGGGGAGGUCUCUCUGGCUCUGACACCAACCUGGGGAGGUCUCUCUGACUCUGACACCAACCUGGGGAGGUCUCUGUCUCUGACACCAACCUGGGGAGGUCUCUCUGUCUCUGACACCAACCUGGGGAGGUCUCUCUGUCUCUGACACCAACCUGGGGAGGUCUCUGUCUCUGACACCAACCUGGGGAGGUCUCUGUCUCUGACACCAACCUGGGUAGGUCUCUCUCUGUCUCUGACACCAACCUGGUGCGGUCUCUGUCUCUGACACCAACCUGGGUAGUUCUCUCUCUGUCUCUGACACCAACCUGGUGCGGUCUCUGUCUCUGACACCAACCUGGGUAGUUCUCUGUCUCUGACACCAACCUGGGUAGGUCUCUGUCUCUGACACCAACCUUGGGAGGUCUCUGUCUCUGACACCAACCUGGGGAGGUCUCUCACUCUGACACCAACCAGGGGAGGUCUCUCUGUAUCUGACACCAACCUGGGGAGAACUCUGUCUCUGACACCAACUGGAGAAACAGCAACAGCAUACUAAUCAAAGUCUUGGGCUAAACUGGUUCAUUAUCAGACAAGCAAAGCAGCAACAAACUGAAUGGAGCCUCUUAGCUAUUCCACUAGCAUCUUAGCAUCACUGUAGCAGAGGUACUGUGUACGGUAGCGG